rnacentral:lncRNA from 1 species
CAGGAUUCAGGAAUUCACACUCAGUGAUCAGAAGACACCAUCGCAGAGACAUGAAACCAUGCCACGGGGAGAGGUAGGAAAACCAACAAAUCCUUUCUUUGCCAAACAUGGAUCCCGGAGCUUCUGAAACCCUCAGUGGGGGUCCCGGCAUGUCUGCUCUGGGAAGAAAGGGGGAAGGUCAUCGGGAGGUCACCCCUGAAAACACUAAGGCCAUGCUACUGAUUUUGUUUUAAGCUUCCUGACAUUUCCUGCAAAGGGAACAGCACAAAUCAUGCGAAGCCCGUAUGAACUGAGCUAAGGCCCAGCGUCUCGAGAGCACAGAGCGAUGAAGAGAACACACUGAACCGACACGGCCCUGGCUCAAAGCCCAGUUUGGACACACGGAAGCUGUGCGAGCUUGGGCAAGUCACCUCACCUCUCUGCGUCUUCAUGUCUUCAUCACUGCUACAAGCAGGGCAACGACAGUGCCUGCCUAUAACGUGGGGAGGGCUUAGAGUGACGCGUUUACAGCUCUGCUGGGAGGCGGCGUGGCCGUCAGCCACGUAGUCAUUGUUCAUGAGCUUAAAGCACAAGUGCUAUGGACGCCUUCCAAAUGGCACGCGUCAGUCCUCACAGCUCCCUGCUGGUGCCCUGAUGCCACCAUCUUUCCAAGGAAACAGAAGCACAAGAGGGUUUUCCCUAAAACCACAGACUCGUCACGAUCACUGGACGUGCCGCUUUCCAAGCUCCUUACACACCUAUGGAGUUGCCUGCGGAACGCAGAACCUCUUCAGCGCAGCCCGUGCUUUUGCAGCCUGUGUAGACAGGCUCCGGUCCGCGACCACCAGGAUCCUCAGGGUAACCAGGCCACGGCGACAUGGGGUGCGGGGGUAAGACGGAGAGAGAGUGGGGCGGAGGGGGGGGUAGAUAUGGCCCAGUCGCUGCUCUCCCCAGCGCUCCUGCUCAGCCUCCACUCCGCGGUGGGUGGUCCAGGCCGGGAAAUCGCGAUCUCAAGCGUAUCUGAAAGAUGAUGCUCCAAAGCGAAGCGAGGAAGAAAAUAGCCCUGGGCUGACGCUCGAAAAUGUCAAGAUACAUUCAAAUUGUUAACCUUCUUACUUGUACAUUUUAAAGAAAAGUGUUUUUGCCAAGCCAUUUAAAUGCUAUCUACCUGCCUC